rnacentral:rRNA from 1 species
UACGUAGGGUGCAAGCGUUGUCCGGAAUUAUUGGGCGUAAAGAGCUCGUAGGCGGUUUGUCGCGUCUGCCGUGAAAGUCCGGGGCUCAACUCCGGAUCUGCGGUGGGUACGGGCAGACUAGAGUGAUGUAGGGGAGACUGGAAUUCCUGGUGUAGCGGUGAAAUGCGCAGAUAUCAGGAGGAACACCGGUGGCGAAGGCGGGACUCUGGGCCGAUACUGACGCUGAGGAGCGAAAGCGUGGGGAGCGAACAGG